rnacentral:rRNA from 1 species
GAUGAACGCUGGCGGCGUGCCUAAUACAUGCAAGUCGAGCGAACAGAUGAGGAGCUUGCUCCUCUGACGUUAGCGGCGGACGGGUGAGUAACACGUGGAUAACCUACCUAUAAGACUGGGAUAACUUCGGGAAACCGGAGCUAAUACCGGAUAAUAUAUUGAACCGCAUGGUUCAAUAGUGAAAGACGGUUUUGCUGUCACUUAUAGAUGGAUCCGCGCCGCAUUAGCUAGUUGGUAAGGUAACGGCUUACCAAGGCAACGAUGCGUAGCCGACCUGAGAGGGUGAUCGGCCACACUGGAACUGAGACACGGACCAGACUCCUACGGGAGGCAGCAGUAGGGAAUCUUCCGCAAUGGGCGAAAGCCUGACGGAGCAACGCCGCGUGAGUGAUGAGGGUCUUCGGAUCGUAAAACUCUGUUAUUAGGGAAGAACAAAUGUGUAAGUAACUAUGCACGUCUUGACGGUACCUAAUCAGAAAGCCACGGCUAACUACGUG